rnacentral:ncRNA from 1 species
CGGGAAAGCUAGGGGAGCUGUUAAGGCUGAGAGGAUUUUUGAAUCCGACCCUUUGAACCUGAUAUGGGUAAUACCAGCGUAGGGAAGCUUGCAUUGUCAUAU